rnacentral:rRNA from 1 species
GAUGAACGCUGGCGGCGUGCCUAAUACAUGCAAGUCGAGCGAACAGACGAGGAGCUUGCUCCUCUGACGUUAGUGGCGGACGGGUGAGUAACACGUGGAUAACCUACCUAUAAGACUGGGAUAACUUCGGGAAACCGGAGCUAAUACCGGAUAAUAUAUUGAACCGCAUGGUUCAAUAGUGAAAGACGGUUUUGCUGUCACUUAUAGAUGGAUCCGCGCCGCAUUAGCUAGUUGGUAAGGUAACGGCUUACCAAGGCGACGAUGCGUAGCCGACCUGAGAGGGUGAUCGGCCACACUGGAACUGAGACACGGUCCAGACUCCUACGGGAGGCAGCAGUAGGGAAUCUUCCGCAAAGGGCGAAAGCCUGACGGAGCAACGCCGCGUGAGUGAUGAAGGUCUUCGGAUCGUAAAACUCUGUUAUUAGGGAAGAACAAAUGUGUAAGUAACUAUGCACGUCUUGACGGUACCUAAUCAGAAAGCCACGGCUAACUACGUG